UGGGGAGAACUGGACAUGGAAAUAAAAGAGUUGAACUACAUGUACGAGCCUGAAGUCCACACCAGUGGUGAUACCAAAGAAGAGAACAAUGUAGCAAUUGUUAAGACCCUAAGUAUUGAGAAGCUAG